rnacentral:lncRNA from 1 species
GUGUGUGUGUGUGUGUGUGUGUUGUACAGGUGCAAUGUCCUUGGAGGCCAGAAGAGAGCAUCAAAUCCCUUGAAACUGGAGUUUCAGGCAGGUGUGAGCCAGCAAACCAUCUUGACUUUUUAGGGGUUAUGAACGAAAUACAAGGAUAGAUACUUGAGGUGGGUGUACUCCUGAGGGGUGAAACCACGAGAUAGGCUUCUGAGGAAUACCUUUGUAGCAAAAUGUUUGCAUGACCACAUCUUUUAUUUCCUGGGAUGAUUCUGUAAAAAUGUUAACCCCAAACUGAUUAUUUACAAUUUUAAAAUAUUUUUGGAUAAAUUUUAGAUUCACAACAAAGUCAGAGUUCUCAUGCCUUCUGGCGGCCUUCUUCCCAACGAUGCGAUGUUUUUUUUUUUUUUUUUUUUUUUUUUUUUUUCUGGUGUUCAGGAUCCGGUCCCAUCAGCUCCCACAUGCUAGGCUCCAUACAUGCUUUUUUGGUCCGCUUGAUUUAUAUGAAAGUUUUCGGGGGAGUAUGUGAAGACAUGGAAAACAAAGAAGCACUCUGAUUUAUCAAAUCAUGGUGAAAUAGAUUAGGGCACAGGUGUCAAAGUAAAAACUACGUUUCCCAGGGUGCAAUGCAGCACGUCACAGAGAAGUAUCGGGCAUGCGCAAAGGAGUCCUCCGCGCUCGACCGCGCUCAUAAGAGAAACAGCGUGUGUGGUUCUUGACGUGCCGCGAACCUUCGAACACAAGUGCGAUACUACCCUGUGAGGAAGCGUUCCAGCGACUCUCCUGUUCCCGCCAUCGCAGUUGCCAGCGCGACGUGCUUUUUUACCCCAGACUCGGCAAGCCCUGUCUCAUGUCAUUCCAGAGAAACUGCUCUACCAAAGCCACCUUGAUUUCUAGAUUGCCAAGUUCAGUGGUGAAGGCUUGGAAGUAUUCUCUUCAAUUGCCUAAAACUCUUGCUCCAUUUCCUUAUCUUUAGUGGUUAUACCAUGGAAAUACAUAAACACUACAUCUUACCUUUCUUUCGGUUCACUCCUUGGGUAUUGUCUGUUUCACACGUUCAGUGUAAAUAACAUUUAUUUGGUGCUACUCUCUUUUCUAUCUUUUGGUUUUAUUUUUUGAGAUAGGAUUUCUCUGUAUAAUAGCCCUGGCUGUCUUGGAACUCAUUUUGUAGACCAGGCUGGCCUGUAACUCAUAGAGAUCUGUCUGCCUCUGCCUUCCAGUGCUGAGAUUAAAGUCAUGGGCCACUAUGCCUGGCAACAUUUUAUUUCUUAAAGAUUAUUUAUUUUUAUUAAUAAGAGUAUUUUGCCUGAUGUAUGUUUAUACACCACAUGCAGAGACCACUAGAGGUUAUUGGAUCUCCGGAAACUGGGACUAGUCACCACGUGGGUUCUGGGAAUUGAACCUGGGUCCUAUGGAAGAAUAGCCGUGCUCUUGACCACUGAGCCAUUGCUAUUAUUAUAAUUAUUAUUAUUUGGAGAUAGAUUAUUUGGACUCUGUAGUCCAGACUGACUUUGAAUUCAUGAU